rfam:Lingula anatina scaffold2706, whole genome shotgun sequence.
GUCUCGCUAGGGUGGGACGUAUACUAAUAUUGGUACGAUACAGAGAAGAUUACAUGUAGCACGGCCCCUGGCGCAAGGAUGACACGCGAAUUCGUAAAGCGUUCCAUAUUUUU